CCAAAGGCUCUUUUUAGAGCCACCCAAAUUUUCAAGAAAAGAGCUA
rfam:Pteropus alecto contig87832, whole genome shotgun sequence.